AUGAUUCCCUACGUGUGCAACCCAGCCACGUCGCGGUAUGCCCGCCUGCCAUGUCCGCCAACGCGCUGGCCAUGCAGCGUCGAGGGCAUGUUCCUCGCCUUUGACCCGGCCGUGUCGCGGCACCACGAGGUGUUCUUCUUUCCCACAGAAAAGCUAGAUCGGAACAACGAGGAAGAUGAGCGGCCACGCGCCAAAUGUCGACCGUGCCCGUGCUGGAUCGAUUGGGAGGACACGUGGCUGCUGAACUUGUUUGGAGAAGAUGAACCAUUCUCUGAAUCAAAGGAAGAGCCAGCCGGUUCUGCGAGCCAGCCCAACCCAAAGAUGCCCAAGGAGAAUGUAUUCCACGUGUUGGUGUUCUCUUCACGGACAGGCCAGUGGGAGAGCCGGAAGUUCAUGCCAGGGCGCUGCGCCUCAGGAAACCUCUACGAUGUGGUGACCACACCGCGCUGUAAGGACCAGCGCACGUGGUGGUCUGCCGAGUACUGGCAUGGCUCACUCUACGUGCACUGCCAUAGUGGUGUCCUCAUGAUCCUGCGUUGCUCGGAGGGGACAUACCAGAUGGUUCAGCUUCCAGGGCAUCCUUGUGACCACGAGAGAUUGUAUCAAUGGGCACUGCCAACAAGGUACUUAGGGAGCUGCAAUAGAGGGAUCCGCUAUGCCGUGGUCAAAGAUUUGUUGCUUGAAGUAUGGGAUCUAAUGGAGUUAGCCGAUGAUCAGCUGGGAUGGACAUUGGCUCACCGUGCCGACCUCAAAGCGCAUGACCGUAUGAUGAAAUAUCUGAACAGUCAACCAAGGAUGGAACCAAGGAUGACAUGGGAAGUGGCUGAGAGCAACAAAGACUUAAUCAGCCUAUUCGAACAUGGCAACAAUGAGAAAAUCAAUGAUGAUUGCGAUGAUGGGACCGGAGACUACGAGGAUGGUGAAGAGGAAGAGGACGAAGAUAACUAUGACGAGGCACAAGAUGAAGAGGUUGAACGAGAAGAUAAUGAUGAUGACACACAAGGUGAAAAGCAGGAAGAACAAGAUAGCUAUGUUGAUGAUGAUGAUGAUGACAAUCAUGAUGAUGAGGCACAAAACGGUUCCGACUACUCAUGGAACUCGAACGAGCACAACUUCAUUGACUAUGAUAACAUUACAAUUCCAGACGAAGACCUUUGGGGGUUUGGCUGCAGUAUUGUCGGAUUCCAUCCAUACAAGGAUGCGCUUCUUCUCAAAUUUAGCGAGACGGUGGGGACAUAUCAUCUCCACACUUCUGGGAUGCAGUACCUAGGAGGUUACAUUUAUCCUGAGAAACAUCACCAACAAGCUAGAGACAUUGACCAUGCAUUCCCCUACCGUCCUUGCUACGUUGAUGCACUCCCGCCCAGAAAAAUGUCUCGUUCAUCUUAG
rnacentral:rRNA from 1 species